GAUGCGGUGGCUCAAUGGUAGAGCUUUCGACUCCAGUAAUCGAAGGGUUGCAGGUUCAAUUCCUGUCCGUGUCA
rnacentral:tRNA from 1 species